GAUGAAGAACGUAGCGAAAUGCGAUACGUAGUGUGAAUUGCAGAAUUCAGUGAACCAUCGAAUCUUUGAACGCACAUUGCGCCCGGCAGUAAUCUGCCGGGCAUGCCUGUCCGAGCGUCAUUUCUGCCCUCGAGCGAGUCCAGCAUCUAGGUGCUGGGCCCGCCCGGCGUUGGGGCACUACGGGAAGCCCUGUGCUGUCCCCCGUAGGCCCCGAAAUGAAGUGGCGGUCCUGCCGCGGCGCCCCCUGCGUAGUAUAACAGCUCGCUUCGGGACCCGGUGGAGGCCUGCCGUCAAACCUUACUCUCUAAGUUUGACCUCGGAUCAGGUAGGGUUACCCGCUGAACUUAAGCAUAUCAAUAAGCGGAGGA
rnacentral:misc_RNA from 1 species